UACGAAGGGGGCGAGCGUUGUUCGGAAUCACUGGGCGUAAAGCGUGCGUAGGCGGCGAUGAAAGUUAGAAGUGAAAGCCCAGGGCUUAACCUUGGAAUUGCUUUUAAAACUACAUCGCUCGAAUCUCGGAGAGGAUAGCGGAAUUGUCAGUGUAGCAGUGAAAUGCGUAGAUAUUGACAGGAACACCAGUGGCGUAAGCGGCUAUCUGGACGAGCAUUGACGCUGAGGCACGAAAGCGUGGGGAUCAAACAGG
rnacentral:rRNA from 1 species